CCCCUCUCAGGCUUGCACCUGGAGAGUUUCCAGUAUUUUACCAGUCUCGACUAUGAGAGGGAGAGUCAAGCAGAGACAUAUUCACUCCAUCCCUAGCUUGGAUGGUGGCUAGUGAGUGGAAGGCAAUCUGCUACAAGU